AACUUACCAGUGAUGACCAAAAAAAAAAACAAAUGUCUGAACAAUUGACUGUCCAGUGAUAAGUGUUUUGAACUGAGGUAAGCU